ACUACUGUCGCCCGCGACGGUUCCCCGUUGGGGAUCAAAAGGGAACGGGGUACAGGCGGUGAUCCGCAUCAUGCCCCGGCUGCCCCCGCAACUGUAGACGGCGAGCCGGCCGUCAGCGACGCCACUGGUGGCCCCGGUACCGGGACUGCCGGGAAGGCGACGGACCGGCGAUGACCCGUGAGCCAGGAGACCUGCCGUCAUUCGUGGUCACGC
rnacentral:ncRNA from 2 species